AUCGUCCAGAAAAAACUCAAAGAAAAUUGUUCAAGGCCUAAUCGUUCAACUUAUCCGACUUACGUGCGAUCGAUCAAAAUGGGACAUCUACACUUUUUAUUCUACUUGUUGUACAUCAGCAUCCUCAUGGCAAUAGGGCUCAAAUUCAGUUACGGCCACCUUUGGACUUUUUUGGAAAUACUGAUUAUAUGGAUGAUUGAUGGCCAAUUUAUUGAGGUAUCCAAUUCAAGCAACUUUGUAAUCGACGCAAUGUGCGCAUGGAACAAUCAGAAAACGACACUAACAGCCAUUUUUUAUUUUGUGCUACCCAUGUUAACAAAGCUGUACAUACUG